GCAAAAGAAGGGCGUAUGGGGGAUGCCUGGGCUCUCAGAGGCGACGAAGGACGCGAUAAGCUGCGAAAAUCCACGGGGAGCUGCACAUGAGCAUUGAUCCGUGGGUGUCCGAAUGGGGCAACCCGGCUGGUUGAAGGCCAGUCACACCGCAAGGUGGGCGAACCCGCUGAACUGAAACAUCUAAGUAGGCGGAGGAAGAGAAAACAAAAGUGAUUCCGAGAGUAGUGGCGAGCGAAAUCGGAUUAGUCCAAACCAAUGUUGUUCCGGCAAUGUUGGGGUUGUAGGACCACGACAUUCUUUGCGUGACGAACUGGAACCCUUUGGAAAGAGGGGCCGUAGACGGUGAUAGCCCGGUACAGGCAAGGAACGUUAAAGAUAGUGGUAUCCUGAGUAGCGCGGGGCACGUGAAACCCUGUGUGAAUCCGGCGGGACCAUCCGCCAAGACUAAAUACUCCUGAGAGACCGAUAGUGAACCAGUACCGUGAGGGAAAGGUG
rnacentral:rRNA from 1 species